rnacentral:rRNA from 1 species
UGCAGAGAACUUUCCAGAGAUGGAUUGGUGCCUUCGGGAACGUCUGACACAGGUGCUGCAUGGCUGUCGUCAGCUCGUGUCGUGAGAUGUUGGGUUAAGUCCCGUAACGAGCGCAACCCUUGUCCUUAGUUACCAGCACGUUAUGGUGGGCACUCUAAGGAGACUGCCGGUGUUAAACCGGAGGAAGGUGGGGAUGACGUCAAGUCCUCAUGGCCUUUAUGACCAGGGCUACACACGUACUACAAUGGCCGAUACAAAGGGCAGCGACACUGCGAGGUGAAGCCAAUCCCGUAAAAUCGGUCUCAGUCCGGAUUGGAGUCUGCAACUCGACUCCAUGAAGUUGGAAUCGCUAGUAAUCGUGGAUCAGCAUGCCACGGUGAAUACGUUCCCGGGCCUU